AGCGUAGGCGGUUUAUUAAGUGGGAUGUGAAAUACCCGGGCUCAACCUGGGAAUUGCAUUUCAAACUGGUUGACUAGAGUGCAGGAGAGGAAAGUGGAAUUCCAAGUGUAGCGGUGAAAUGCGUAGAGAUUUGGAGGAACACCAGUGGCGAAGGCGACUUUCUGGACUGUAACUGACGCUGAGGCUCGAGAGCGUGGGGAGCAAACAGGAUUAGAUACCCUGGUAGUCCACGCUGUAAACGAUGAAUACUAGGUGUAGGGGGCGAAGCCCUCUGUGCCGCAGUUAACACAUUAAGUAUUCCGCCUGGGGAGUACGAUCGCAAGAUUAAA
rnacentral:rRNA from 1 species